AGCAAAUCUCUGUCUGGCAGCAGACUGUCACAGAUGAGGUUCUGAUUGGACCGCACCGCCACACCAUGGCACACACACAGAGAACAAAGCACCUCCAGCACCUGGAACACAACCUGUCAGCUCUUCAUGUGGCAAUAGCUCAAUAAGCAAAUGGAAAUGAUCCGACAUCAGGAAACAGAUUGGAAACUGUUAUUAUAGCUGUUAAAAGUGAAACACUAUGUCUAUGUUACUAGACUGGUGAGAAAUGUGGAAUUUGCUUAAGCCCCAUAAUGACAAAUUCUGAGAGAAAAUUAGGAUAAUAACAAAGGACUUUUUGUAUUUAUUUUUAAUUAAUGCAGACAUGCCACUGUAGCCAAAAAGCUUACGGUAAUAAUGAAAUUACUGGCCAUUCGGCAUCACUUAUUAUCCAUGCACUUUACUUCAAUCUUAUUUUUAUAUUGAAUACACACAAACGCCUUCUAAACACUACCCUGUGGUUGCAUCCAAGCUUGUCCAGAAAUGAGAUGACAGACUGAAUGUGUUGUUCCUUGAUGGCAUUGAGAGCUUCAGGGCUUUCCACAAGGACGCAGUGAAGAACUUCCAGGACUCCUGUAAAUAUAACUGCCCGUUAUUGUGUGGAUGAUAACCUGCAUUUACCUCUAUGCUUCUAUACUAUUAGGUAUAAAUCCCAGACAACACACGAUAACCAAUGUCAAAUAUAAUAUAAAUAUAUACUGUAAAAUUUCAAUCCACAAUGGCUGAUGAAGAAAACAAAGCAAAUCCAACCAACCAGAAGAGGCCUCCUGCCGUUCUAGCCUGCUAAUCAGCCAGUCCAGCGAACCCGAGAAAUUAGCACAAUUUGCACGGUUUCCCCGGAGCAGAGCAGCUUAAGAGGAAAAAAACAAAAAAACCAAAAAAUAUUAACAAAAAUAUUAACAGACGAUAAGAUAAUAAGAGGAACCUUAACAGAUUAGGAGAUAUUUGUGGUAUCUUCAAAAAAUAAGUAUGGUGCCAUCUAUACUACUCUCACCCAACAGCUCAUAGAAAUGGUUGACGAUGGUCUCCCACUCCUCUCCUGUGUCACUCUGAACAGCCUCAGCAAAAUGAGAAGCACUACUAUACUGGUGUAGACGGUCAAUACAAUCUAAGACCAAAUCUAUCACACCCUGAGAAGAAAGGGAGGCACAGUUAGGGAAGCGUGAGGCAUAGCACAUGUAGGACUCAUUCACACUUAUCGAUUUACCUCUUUUUGAAACAUGUUCUGUCGAUUCUUUAGCGCCGCCAUGCUGUUCUGUUUAGCUUCAUGGCCUAGCCCCUCCAGUGGAGGCUGGAAAUAGAUGAUCAGAUCCUGCAGACUGCGUGUCACUGUCUCCACUGGCAGGCUGACAGAGGGGAUAUUUACCUCUUGGUUAAAACCAUCAAGUUUCCUAAAGAAAAAAAAAAGUUUGUUUUUAGACUCUACCUACAAGUCUGCCAAAUUGUCUUGUAUUAUAAUUGCUGCUACUAUCACCAGCCAAACUUGUUUUAUUCUCGAUCGAUGGAGUAAAGACAGAAGGUGUUAUACUAGCCUAUGAAUUUAUUUUAUUUUUUACAAAUAAAAGACUCAAAAUUUAAAAAGCCAAAUGUGAGACAGACAGACAGUAUCUGAGCCCCAAGUAUUCU
ensembl:lncRNA